AAAAACGUUCUUAUAUUAUGGGACGGAGGGAGUAGCUCUUAUAUGCAGGAACACAAAUAAUUCUUUCCAAUAGCAAAAGCAUGGCAGGAAGCAAAGCAACCAAGAUCUGGCAAUAAUCUACGCUUAUUACAAGAAAAAUUAAUCAGUAGAAACAUGCAUACAGCAGGUUAACAACUACCAUAUGCAGAAUUGCAUAAUUUUGAUUUCAAUUCUCAGCAAGGAUUGGUCCAUGAUCUACAACUCUGAAAAACUCAGUGCAAAGCAGAGUGGACAACCACUCAGUUACAGGGGUUUUGGCAUCAAGCAAGACUUGCUCUCUCCUCAUAAUCUGGCCACUUGGACAUGAGCAUCUUCGGUGCUGGUGCUUCUUGCUCAUCGAGGUUUAUGUGCCGGAAAGAUGACACCAAACAAAGUCUGAAUCAGUUUGAGCACAAGACCGUGUAAGUCUCACACAUCCAUACUUAAAAUAUUUGCUCCUGAGCUAAUCUAAUGAGUAAAAAUACCAUUUCACUAGCAGGAAGAGAACUGUACACUGCAUAUAGUCAUUUCUACACUUUACUUAAUAUCAUCACUAAACUUGAAUAACAAUUUGAUCAGGUAUAAUUUCUGCCAUAGGGGGGGAUGAAAUUUCCUACAACGUUUUCUCAAAUAUGUGAGUGGAAAGAUGAUUCGAAUGCAAUAUAACCAGCUAAAUCAUUUGGGUAUUGUUACUAUCUAGAACGAACAUUAUAUCUAUUUAUGGGUGAUUCAUUUCUGUAAGGGUCAAAAAACAGACAAUUUGUACUAACAAACUAGCUCGGUCACUUGAUCAGGAUGUUCAAUGAAGAGUGGUAUGUUUGAUGAGGUCCCAUUUCACUCUUACUCCAAUGUACUCCCUCCAUUCCUAAAUAUAAGACCUUUUAGAGAUUUCAAUAUGGACUACAUACGGAGCAAAAUAAGUGAAUCCACACUCUAAAAUAUGUCUAUAUACAUCUGUAUGUAGUCCGUAUUUAAAUCUCUAAAAGGGCUUAUAUUUAGAAACGGAGGGAGUACACAACAACGUAAUAGUUUCCUACAUCUACAUAACAAAGCAUACAUAGUAAGGAGAAAGAAAUGGUUUUAAAUUUUUUAAAUAGAGUUUAUGACUAUUCUAUAAUGGGGAUUAAUAGUGUAAACAAAUAAUUUUUUAAAAAAUGGAGUUUAAUGGCUAGCAUUUGAGCAUCACAAUUUUUUUUAAAUGGAGUUUUAUGACUAGCAUUGGCCUUUUUGGACCGUGUGUUCUCACCUGAUAGUGUUGGUACACAGUUUGCGAUUUUUGGAACUAUGUGCUCUCCUAAAGGUGAUAUUGCACUACUUCCCUCCAUUUCAGAUCGAGAUGAACCAACAGAACGGCGGGGGCGAGCUUAGUAGUUGACGAGCUGCGAUUAUCCAGCAUACCCAAACCAGACAUUGUGUUCUACGCCAAAAUCCAAAUAGCUGAUUGUUUAGUCACCUUGAUAUAACAAAAUGAGACAUCAGCACAAUUACAAGACUGCAAAGUUAAGGUUGCAAAUUAAAGAGAUGCACACAAGCAGACUUAUUUUUACAUACAAAAGGUAACAAAGUUGUAGUAUUUUUUACAUCCAACGUGUUAUUACAACUGAAUGAGGAAGAGCAAAGAGCUAACACAAUAGUUUCACUACAUCAAAACUAGCAUGAUUUUUGGUUUCAGUGCCAUUACUGGACAAAUAGAUUGUAAACUCUCAAAAACCAGUGAAGUGGUACAUAUUGCAAGUGUGUAAUAAAUUCCAGUCUUGUGCUGACAAGCACUUAACUUGCAAAUAUUUUAAUAGGUAGAUGAGAUUAGUUCGUUCUCAUGUACAGUUCCAGCAAAGUCAACGAAGUUUCACAAUAUCAAAUUGGUCGAAAUUCUAGUCCAAGCAAAAUAUAGCAAGCUGACUGGGAAUAACAAAAAACCCCUAUAUAUCCAAUUGGAAGAUAGUUACCCACUGAAUGAUCUUUUAUUCGCAAAAAUGAUACUACAGUCUAUUUAGUUUUGAUGCUCAAGUAUGAUUUUCUUAUUGCAACAACUAUAAUAAGGCGGCCACCAGAGUUCUCAUGUACAGUUGGGUUAGUAAUAACGUUUUCUACAAUUUCAUAUAAUGGAUCAUGCUUAAUAAGGCGGCCACCAGAGUUCAAGAUUCUUAUCUUCUACUACUAUAGUCUAUAGUACACAAAUACUUGAAUUUUGAUUAGCUAUCCACCAAGACUCGCGAGCAAUUAUACACCAUUGGUUUGUUCCAGAAGAUGAAUAUCCAUCGUCUGCCAGUAUGCAACCCAAGUGAUCCAACGGAUGACAUUUAUGGGAUUCGCUCCGUACGGACACGUGCCAAAACGACUGCAUGACUUUUCUGGAAUCCUCGCGGCUCCAAAUGCGCCCACGCACAAUAUCAAUGGGUUUGUUCUUGUGCAAAAGUCUGCUAUUUAAGAUCUGUUGUGGCUAUUCUGAACUUCACUGCUCUCAGUGAUUGGAGGAUCGGGCUAUAAUUAACCCUCACAAAUCAACGGGUAAACAACUAGUACCUUCCACAAAUCAAUCGCAUCUGCGCCGCCAAAAAAAUAGUAUCUACACUGAACUUCCAACGGAUUGGACAAUAAAGUUUUGUACAUCUUCAACAGGAAUUUAUAACACUGAAAAGAAUUGUAGUAUGCAACGUUGGCAGCGUCUGAGUAAGCCAUAUCUUUUCAAAAAAAAAAAAACAGUGAGCGAGGGCAGAAAACGUGAAUUGCCCGUGCCUUCUACUAGUACGAUUGAACAAGAAAAAGGUCAUCUGGCUGAUUCUUAUGUGACAAAUCUGGGAGGGGGAGCCUUGUUGAGUUGAGCAAUUGGGACAUACAUACAGGGAGUUCGGUUUGUUGCAGUGGCAAUGAUGCCUGCAAAUCUGUAGCGCUAGAGCAGUAUCAGCCGCCGAAUACAGUACCUCCAGAUCUUGUCGAUUGCAAUGGGUAAGACAAAUGGUAGAUCGAGGUUGUCCUCGGCGUUUGGGGAACUGUACCUGGAGAUUGGCUCGGACAGCGUCGCGGCGCAGCACAGGAGAGGUCCGCCCGGGCAGCCCGACCGCCGGCGACGAGACGACCAAGAUUCUUCCAGUAGCCAAGGCCGCCCAGCUAGGUACAUCUAGGGGCAGAAAUGGAAAGCUUCCUCCAGUAGCCAAGGUCGCCCAUCUAGGUACAGGAUCUACACCGCCGUCGCCAUUGGCAAGCCAUUAGGGUUGGGGAUUUGUUGGACCUCAGCCGCUGCGGCUUGAUUUGGAAGGAGAUGACCGGUAGAAAAUAAGAGGAGAUCGGGAGCAAAAUAAAUGGAAAUGAGGGACUAUUUUACAAAGAUGAGCGCACAGAUCCCUCACUAAAAUAUGGGCCAUCCAUGUUGGAUCCGACGGUCUAGGACGGUUUUUUCUAUUUUUGUACCACAAGCGCGUUUUCUAUUGUAGUCACUCCCAACUCAUAACCCAGCGAUACAUU
rnacentral:lncRNA from 1 species